rnacentral:misc_RNA from 1 species
CGAGAGUGUCACCACUCCCAACCCAUUGUUUACCUACCCGUCCACCGUGCUUCGGCAGGCAGCCCUGUGGGACAGAGCCUCGCCCCCUUCGCGGGGGGUGCCUGCCGCUGGCCAACCAACAACUCUAGCUGUUUUAGUACCAUCUGAGUCUUCCACAAAUGAACA